AAAAAUAUCUACUGCUAAGGAUCUUAACCGAUCCGCGGCUGGGUGAGAUUUCUAGUAAAUCCAUUCAACCACUGUGGAACUGAACUGUAAUUCCCUGUAACGUUUGGCCAUAGGUUUUGCUUUCUUGAAAGUAUUAUCUAUGUCCUCGGGACAGGGCCUUCUUUUGAACUUAUAUUAUGUGCCAGUCUUAAUCUUUGUGUGCUCAAAAAACACAGAAAUUAAAAA
rnacentral:misc_RNA from 1 species